CGACGUCAUGUUGUAAGUUAACAUCUGUCAUACAGAUAUAUAGACACACAAAAUGUCUUAUUGAUCAUCUCCUUAAGGUAUAGAAUCCUACAGAGACAAUGAAGACUUUACUGAGCUUUCUUGUUUUACUAAUGUGUUCAUCAGGUGUGCAGUCGGCAGAACAACUUACCCAAUCAGAGCCAGCAGUGAUAAAGCCGGGGAACUCUCACACACUGACCUGUACAGCUUCUGGGUUCAACUUUGCUGGCUACUGGAUGGCAUGGAUCAGGCAGACCCCUAAUGGACCACUGCAGUGGUUGUGUGAGAUUAACCCCAACAGUGGCACCAAAAACUAUAUUGAUUCUAUUAAAGGAAGCUUCACAGUCUCCAGAGAUAACAGUAAUAAUGUAUUAAAUUUAAAAAUGGAUAACAUGAAAACCGAGGACACUGCUGUGUAUUACUGUGCAAGAUACACAGCGACUGAAAACAUAUCUUCCGUUUAACAAAAAUGUAUCACUGCAUCUCAUGUUCUAUCAGUAGAGGGCAGCACACAUUUACAAUAGUGAUUUAUCUAUAAUAUCCUGUUAUUUGCAAGCAACUUUGUCAUUUUACUCAUUUUAUUUUCAAAUGUUAUGUAUAUUCUCUGUAUUCUUUAAUUGUACGCAUUAGGAAAUUAUAUAAUGUACACCAAAGAAAGGGUUCAUGGGUAACAGAAAUACAAGUUGCAUUUGAGAUAAAAGGAGAAUGAUACAGAGAUAUUACACAUAUAGGCCGAGAAGU